AGUGAAUAUAGUUUAUUAAAAAUUUUAGUCUGUGAAACUAAAGAUAAGAGCUAACUACUCUUUAUUCACCG
rnacentral:tRNA from 1 species